rnacentral:rRNA from 1 species
CAGUCGCCGCGGGAAUACGUAGGGCGCAAGCGUUAUCCGGAAUUAUUGGGCGUAAAGAGCUCGUAGGCGGUUUGUCGCGUCUGCCGUGAAAGUCCGGGGCUCAACCCCGGAUCUGCGGUGGGUACGGGCAGACUAGAGUGAUGUAGGGGAGACUGGAAUUCCUGGUGUAGCGGUGAAAUGCGCAGAUAUCAGGAGGAACACCGAUGGCGAAGGCAGGUCUCUGGGCAUUAACUGACGCUGAGGAGCGAAAGCAUGGGGAGCGAACAGGAUUAGAUACCCCAGUAGUCCCUGUCUCUUAUAC